rnacentral:rRNA from 1 species
CAGUAGCCACGGGAACACGGAGGGUGCAAGCGUUAAUCGGAAUUACUGGGCGUAAAGCGCACGCAGGCGGUCUGACAAGUCAGAUGUGAAAUCCCCGGGCUUAACCUGGGAACUGCAUUUGAAACUGUCAGGCUGGAGUCUUGUAGAGGGGGGUAGAAUUCCAGGUGUAGCGGUGAAAUGCGUAGAGAUCUGGAGGAAUACCGGUGGCGAAGGCGGCCCCCUGGACAAAGACUGACGCUCAGGUGCGAAAGCGUGGGGAGCAAACAGGAUUAGAGACCCGUGUAGUCCCUGUCUCUUAUAC